CCGUAUUCCAAAGAUUAGCCCCACAUAUUUCUUGUGUAGUUCUGGAGUCUUUUCAUCAUCGUCCAGGAUAGUAUGACCUUGGACUUUCCGCAUCGAGGAGCGCUUAUAUUGUGUGCUGUGACUCAUCCUUCGCUCGUGUUAUGUGUCGUUUCGGUGUGGGUGGGAACAACUGCUUGUGCUGCACAUCUGUUACGCUAGCUGCAUUGCAAUUGUUAUAUAACUUUUAACUAGGGGAUGGGGGAAGGGUUACAUAAGGAAAAGGAAGGGGUAAGGGGGUGCCCUAGACAACACGUUUUGCA